ensembl:lncRNA
CUAGAUAAUCUGCAACAGGUUCCCGGCAGGGUGCGAGAGAGUUUAGCUAAUUUAAUUGACCAAGCCCUAGAAGAUGCCCCAUCAGGGAGCAUGUUGAAUGUUGUGUUACGAGGACCAUCCCUAACCAGUGAUGUGCAGUGUGUGUUACAAUCAGAUGAUGAUUAUAAUACAGAUUUAUUCCUUGAGGAAAUCAUGCAAGUGCUUCAAAGUAAUGACGAGUCUAUAUCAUCAGAAACUUGAAUUUAUCGCCACAGUUGCUCAUAACAGGAGCGGCGGGGUUCGUUUGAGAUUAGGGCUUGGCUACAGGAGGUGGUAAGUGACUCAUGUUGUAACUGACGUCAGACGCCGGAGAUUUUGGCGGAAAAUUAAAGCGAAUGGUAGUUUAGAAUUGAACAAAGUUUCUUUAAGCUUCAGUAUUACCAAAUAUACUAAUUGAUUGUCAUAUAACUAACAACAUCUGUCCCAUCAUCUCUAACACCCUGGAGGACAACGGGGAGAGUUUAGAAUUCUAUUUAUGCAACAACUAUGAUAAUGCAUAAAUUAAAUGUAAUCUUAAUUGGAAAUUGUGCAUAUUGAUAUUGGCUGCAGCUUUAAUCUUCUCUGCUUAACUUCUAUAUGCAAGAUACAUUUAAAAGAUAAAGUGACUAGUUACUUCUUUAUAUUUGCAUCUUUAUGUAAAGUAAUAAAUGUUGAGGAGACCUUUAAGUAUAAUGUGUUCACCUAUGGAAGUGUAAAAAUGACUAUACAAAAAAUGAUAUGAGUCUGUAGAGGAAAAUAUGGCAAAGUCCCAAGACUUACAAAAGGAAGCCUAUGCCAGACGAGUCCAGAAGAAAUACAGAAACCUAGCUGCGGGAAGUUUGUUUUUUUUUUUGUUGAUGAGUGAGUAUAGGGGUGGGAUUUAAUAAGUUCUCUUCGUCCCACUCCUUUUUCAGGCAAGUUUUGUUUUUUGUUUUGUGUAUUUUAUGUUCAAUAUAGGUAUUUGUUGUGCCUGAAAAUGAAUAAAUAAAUGAAUGAAUGAAUGAAUGAAUGAAUGAACCUUGUGUACAGCGUUGGAGAUGAAGUUCUUCUCCUGAACAUGAGGAAACGUGGAAGGAAGGGAGGAAGGUUUGAUCCAGAUUUUUCAGGACCCUACACCAUUCAAGACAUCGCUGGCAAAUGUGUGAGAUUAAAAAACACGGAAGGAGCAACUUUAAAAAAUCACUACAGCAUUGACCAUAUCAAGCCGUACAGAAGAAGCCACCAUGUAAAUGUCAGUGACAAUGAAAAAUACCCAACUCACAGUCAGACAGUGAACAGCAACACAGACCUGAAGAUGCCCCCCUGCCAUCCUACUGCUAACCCUCAGUGCCAGCAAAGUCCAGAGGAUACCAGACCCUCUAUUAUUCAUUAUGCACCCAAAACAGCUGACAAAAGUUGUUUCUCCCACAAGGAGUUUAAUUCUGUUCCUGGACCGGAAACGCGUGAACAAGAACUUCCCUCCCAGACACGAAGCUCAGAAAAUGAAGGUGGCAUAGUGAACAACUCUUUUUGGCCCGUUGGUCAUUUGUUGCCAGUUUGGCGUUGCAACAUGAUUGAUCAUUGCAUGACUUUGUUUGCAUUUUGCAGUCUUCAACUCAUAUUGGAUGUAAAGAAACAUGCAACAUGCACUGAGCUUGUGGAAGUCUGGAAAUGGAUCUGCCUGUCAGUAAUUUUCUCUUUUGCCCACCCGCUGUACCUUUCCUAUUUCUCUGCGUGAAAAUGCAUGUUUAUUGUGUUGACUUUUUUCCAUUUGUGGCCCGUUGGCCUUUACCCGGCUUUUCCACUAAAAAUCUCAUGCAUGCCUGAGCUAACUUAUCAUAUUUUUCUUUUAGUAAAGAGGCUGUGGCGUGCAAAGGAUACUGGGCGCUUGGAGUCAGUUGUUGGACCAUACAAGUUAUUUGAUUCCUCUUUACGAACACUGCAGGGGUCACGGUGGCUUUCUGAUGAGGUAAGAGAACUUAUUAUUGAUUCUGAUUUUGAAGUGCUGCUCCUUCUGAAGCAUCUGAAGCACCAUUAAUAGUUUAAAAUGUGCAGGUAGGUGUGUGUGUGUGGGGGGGGGGGGUAUAUAGCAAAACUCUGAUAAAGUUUCACCCACUCACUUCAAUAGGAACGAUUGUUAUCAACAACAACACAGAUGUUGUGACAUCUGUGACAUCAUAAUACCCAGUUUAUGCAGAAAGAACCUUUAUCAGAAAUUAUAUUCCUUUCCAAGUUUUUGUGUACAGCACUCAAGCAGUUACUUCAGAAUUUGUUGCUGCUGGUUUAUAAACUCUGACUUUUCAAAACAGGUCAUUGAUGCAUACCUGCACCGUGUCAUUGAGAGACGAAAGAAUGCUGUACACCUGCUCUGUUCAGUAGUUGCAAGCUCGUUGUUUUCUGGGCAGUUCAGAUGCCUCACCAAGAUGAAGUUCCCAGUUGAAGACAUGUGGUUGUGCCCUGUGAACUUUGGUACGCACUGGAUUCUUGUGAUUGUCAACAUUUCUGCACAGAAAAUACUGCUCAUAGACCCCAUGGGGAAUGAAGGUGUUUAUGACAGGAAAAUUCUGCACAACUGGAGGAAUUUUCUGAGGAUGAGAGGGCAUGAAGACACCAUGGAGUGGCAGUUACAGACUAUGCAACACAACAACCAACAGGAUUCCAGCAGUUGCGGAGUUUUGCUGUUAAAGUUUGCAGAACACUACCUUGCUUUUGGAGAGAGGUCAGUGAAGUAUUAACCACUACAGAAGCAGUUGUGCUGGAGCGAAUGCAGAUAGCUUGCACCCUACUUGAACAUCGAGGGAACGCUGAGGAUUACUGCAUUGUUUGCUCUAUGUUAGAUACGGACGCUGACCGCAGCAUGAUUGAAAUGGUAAAACAAAACCAAACAAAAGAAACACGUGCAGUGUGAAUCUUGCCAAAGAUGGGCACAUUUUGCAUGUGCAAAAUAUAAAGAGCAACCAAGAACAUAAAUGCAAAAAUAUGUAAGGAAAACACAUAACAACUUCUAAUAAAAACAGC